ACUUGAGGGAAUGGACUUUGCCGCGCAAUACAGUGGAAGGCUCGAAGCCGCUGCGUAGGUGUGGUGUCUUCUGACUAUCGCGGAUUUUUGUAGCAAGCUUGAUGAAAUUUAUGUACAUGACAUGUGUGAACACUUCAGAAUUUGUCAUUCUAUUCAAUCAAGGUGCACGAGUCAUGACCAACCUUUUCCUUGCCUGUGCGAGGAACCUGCGCACUGGCAAGUUAGCCACGUUUGCACGACGUGAGGCAACGUCAAGACUGUACUUUCAAGUCUUCAAACACGCACAUGUAUUGUAUGCUGUUUUUCCCCAAUGAGUAUCUCACAUCAACGUCAAGAGUUUCCUUCUUCUUUCUCAAGUGAAGGGAAAAUAAUCAUUUUGUUCCCUAUCC